GCGGCGCGGCCGGAGCCCGGGGUCCGCCGACUUCAGCGAGGGGCACCAAGAUUUUGAGGAAGCUCUGCGCCCGGGGCGCGCGACCUCGCCUGUGGAGUGAUGGCCGGUCGUUGUCUCUGCGUCUCUCCUGCGUUUUAGGAGGAGCUCAGGAGGUGGUCCCUGUCGCGCUGGGGGCCUCUGCACGGUCCUUCGGGAAGGACAGACCCUGGAGGGGGCACCGACUGCGCGCAGUCGUCCCGCGCCCUCUCGGUCCACCAAGCGGCCCCCACGGGAGAACUCGAGGCGGGAGGCACACGGGCCGGGGACUCGCCCAGAUCCCCUUCCUAUCCUCUGCGCUGGCUAGGGACCCGCAGGAAGCCCCCCGACCUCGCACAAAGGCCGGGAUUCGCCUGUUUUGAAACCCAGAGGACUGCCACUCGCAGCUGCCCAGAGGGCAAAUCCUGGCGUCCGAGAUGGAAGAUGUGACAUAAGCAUCCUUCCUCCGAGGAAAUGGGUGCGGCACCUUCGUGAACACGGGCAGGAAGGAGCCUGCCUCAGACGGGUGAGAUCGAGCCUGCCUUGCCCGAGACAAAAGGAGAUGACCCCGCGGCAGCAGCCGGCUUCUUCUAGCAUCACCCCGAGAAAUCACAAAGUGGGGGACAGAGCCUGACUCCCGGCGCCUCCAGCCACCCCCGCCCCCGGAGCCUGCACAGGCACCUUCCCCUGGCAGGACCCCCCUCCCUCUCUGUAGCAUGGGGAGCGCCCCAUCCCGUCAGAAUCGCUGGGAACCAACCUAGAGGAUGAGCCGGGGCUGGGAUGCAGGCAGCCACCCUCCAGCCAUCAGCACUGAUGUUCGUCUGCUGCCCCCUGGUGGGUGCGGAGGGCACUGUCGCCACCUGGCUGCCCCUUGGCCGGACGC